rnacentral:rRNA from 1 species
UGGGGAAUCUUGCGCAAUGGCCGAAAGGCUGACGCAGCGACGCCGCGUGGGGGAGGAAGGCCUUCGGGUUGUAAACCCCUGUUGCCCGGGACGAAUGCGCUCUAUUGGGGGCGUUGACGGUACCGGGUGAGGAAGCACCGGCUAACUCCGUGCCAGCAGCCGCGGUAAUACGGAGGGUGCGAGCGUUGUCCGGAAUCACUGGGCGUAAAGGGCGCGUAGGCGGCUCAUGAAGGCUGUGGUGAAAGUCCGGGGCUCAACCUCGGAUCGGCCGUGGCGACUCGUGGGCUGGAGCACUGUAGAGGCGGGUGGAAUUCCGGGUGUAGCGGUGGAAUGCGUAGAGAUCCGGAAGAACACCAGUGGCGAAGGCGGCCCGCUGGGCAGUGGCUGACGCUGAAGCGCGACAGCGUGGGGAGCAAACA